AUUGAACGCUGGCGGCAGGCCUAACACAUGCAAGUCGAGCGGAGCGGCGGACGGGUGAGUAAUGUAUGGGGAUCUGCCUGAUGGCGGGGGAUAACUACUGGAAACGGUAGCUAAUACCGCAUACCAUCAGAUGAACCCAUAUGGGAUUAGCUAGUCGGUAAGGUAACGGCUUACCUAGGCGACGAUCCCUAGCUGGUCUGAGAGGAUGAUCAGCCACACUUGGACUGAGACACGGCCCAGACUCCUACGGGAGGCAGCAGUGGGGAAUAUUGGACAAUGGGCGAAAGCCUGAUCCAGCCAUGCCGCGUGUGUGAAGAAGGUCUUCGGAUUGUAAAGCACGUUAAGUUGGGAGGCGUUACCAACAGAAUAAGCACCGGCUAACUUCGUGCCAGCAGCCGCGGUAAUAC
rnacentral:rRNA from 1 species